GUUUAAAGAGUCAUCAGUUCAGAGACUGUGACAGUCGAGAUCGAGAACGAGAAAGAAGUGAGACAGAGAAGCACGAUGGAUGAAUUCAGAUGGAUUCAAAUGUUUUCAUGUCUGAUGCUGAUGAUUCGGAUUGCAGCCUUCUCAACAGUAUCUCUAAAUGAAACAUCCAUUUUUAUGAAAGUUGGAGAUGACGUCACUCUGCCUUGUCUAAAUCUGAUAGAUCAGCAGAAUAACUGUGAUGGUACUACGUGGACGUUUGCUUCAAGAAACAAACCAACAACAAUAGAGCUGAUCACACUUGGACAGAUUGGUGAACAUGCCAAAACUAAAUCAGACAGACUGAGUGUUACAGCGAACUGUUCUGUGCUUAUAAAGAAGCUCAAAGUUGAGGAUGUUGGUUUUUAUUCCUGUCAACAAUACAAAGUCAAAGAAACACCAUCUAAACACACUCGGGUUCGUCAGUCUUUCGUUGAUCUCUCUGUUAUUACCUUGACUGAACAUAAGAACAUUGAUAAGGGGAUACUAAACUGCUCUGUGCUGACACAUGGAGAGUGUCAUCACACAGUGAUGUGGCAAAUUAAAGGUAAAGAUGUGGACAAAGAGGACAACGAAAUAGUGACUUCACAGACUGUUUGCUCCACCACAGUGUCCAUUCCAGAGUCUCACUUUCUUUAUUCAUCAAGAUAUAACAUAUUGGCAUGUGAAGUGACUGACAGUAAAAUAGGAAAAGUGCAGCUGUUUACCUUCACUUCUCAGCCAUCAGGUGAAGAAACAGGGAACACGACCAAGAUGGAUAAAACAAUACAUUAUGAUCAAGAUGAAGACGAUGUUACAAUUCAUUAUGAAAACAUCGGGGUUUCUGCUGCUUCAGUCAGAUUCAACUGAUCAACUUCAACUCAGCAGAGGAAAUGGCUUUUAUAUUACCAGUAUCAUCUCAUCCAGUUUUAUAGAUUAAAUCGUAUAAAACAGAUAACGAUGUAAGUCGUUCCCAUUAAGUUCAUUCUGCUCAUCUGCGUGUUUUGUUUUCAGUGGGAGAAAUGUUUCGUCAUUCAUCCAAGUGACUUCUUUAGUCUUCUUCAAUCACUCGGAUAUUUGACGAAACACGUUCCCCCUGAAACCGCUAUGAUCUGAUUGAGCAUGCAUCAAGACCAUAUACAUAGUUGUUUUGUGUUUCAGUAUUCUGACUAUGGAUUUAUAUUUAGGUCUUGAACUUGUAUGAGUUUUAUCACAUCCUGUUCAUCCUGUUCAGACCUUCACUCACAUCUUUGGUUGAAUAGACUUAGAUAGAAGAAGAGGAGUUGAGGAUGUACAAACCGAGGAAUAGGUAGCCAAUAAACCACUUCCCAAUCAACUCUCUUCUAUGUAUAGAAGAGAGUUCUAGUUCCACUCUAAACGUAUCUACCCAUUUGACCUACUUGACCACAGUUUCUCUUUUACAUUCGUUAAUAAACCACAUAAAGACUGUUUCUGUGCAAGUGGAUCUUUUUUAUGCUCUCUUAAUAUAUUUG
ensembl:lncRNA